GUGUCAGCCGCCGCGGUAAUACGAAGGGGGCUAGCGUUGUUCGGAAUUACUGGGCGUAAAGGGCGCGUAGGCGGCCUUGUUAGUCGAGUGUGAAAGCCCUGGGCUUAACCCGGGAAGCGCGCUUGAUACUGCAGGGCUUGAGUGUGGGAGAGGAUGAUGGAAUUCCCAGUGUAGAGGUGAAAUUCGUAGAUAUUGGGAAGAACACCGGUGGCGAAGGCGAUCAUCUGGACCACAACUGACGCUGAGGCGCGAAAGCGUGGGGAGCAAACAGGAUUAGAUACCCUGGUAGUCCACGCCGUAAACGAUGUGUGCUAGACGCUGGAAGACCUAGUCUUUCGGUGUCGCAGCUAACGCUUUAAGCACACCGCCUGGGGAGUACGGCCGCAAGGUUAAA
rnacentral:rRNA from 1 species